UUUAUGGAGAGUUUGAUCCUGGCUCAGGAUGAACGCUGGCGGCGUGCCUAAUACAUGCAAGUCGAGCGAACGGACGAGAAGCUUGCUUCUCUGAUGUUAGCGGCGGACGGGUGAGUAACACGUGGAUAACCUACCUAUAAGACUGGGAUAACUUCGGGAAACCGUAGCUAAUACCGGAUAAUAUUUUGAACCGCAUGGUUCAAAAGUGAAAGACGGUCUUGCUGUCACUUAUAGAUGGAUCCGCGCUGCAUUAGCUAGUUGGUAAGGUAACGGCUUACCAAGGCAACGAUGCAUAGCCGACCUGAGAGGGUGAUCGGCCACACUGGAACUGAGACACGGUCCAGACUCCUACGGGAGGCAGCAGUAGGGAAUCUUCCGCAAUGGGCGAAAGCCUGACGGAGCAACGCCGCGUGAGUGAUGAAGGUCUUCGGAUCGUAAAACUCUGUUAUUAGGGAAGAACAUAUGUGUAAGUAACUGUGCACAUCUUGACGGUACCUAAUCAGAAAGCCACGGCUAACUACGUGCCAGCAGCCGCGGUAAUACGUAGGUGGCAAGCGUUAUCCGGAAUUAUUGGGCGUAAAGCGCGCGUAGGCGGUUUUUUAAGUCUGAUGUGAAAGCCCACGGCUCAACCGUGGAGGGUCAUUGGAAACUGGAAAACUUGAGUGCAGAAGAGGAAAGUGGAAUUCCAUGUGUAGCGGUGAAAUGCGCAGAGAUAUGGAGGAACACCAGUGGCGAAGGCGACUUUCUGGUCUGUAACUGACGCUGAUGUGCGAAAGCGUGGGGAUCAAACAGGAUUAGAUACCCUGGUAGUCCACGCCGUAAACGAUGAGUGCUAAGUGUUAGGGGGUUUCCGCCCCUUAGUGCUGCAGCUAACGCAUUAAGCACUCCG
rnacentral:rRNA from 1 species